rnacentral:rRNA from 1 species
GACGAACGCUGGCGGCGUGCUUAACACAUGCAAGUCGAACGGAAAGGCCCUGCUUGCGGGCUACUCGCGUGGCGAACGGGCGGGUAACUCGUAGGUGGUCUGCCCUCCACUUCGGCAUGGGCCAGGGCAACUGAGUCUAGUACCGGCCAGGAAACAUUUUUAGCGUGAUGGUUGAAAAGUUUUUGGGGUGUUGGCUGAGUUCGCGGCCUAUCUGCUUGUUGGGGGGGUAAUGGCCUACCGAGGCGGCUACGGGUAGCGGGCCUGUGAGGGUGGACGGCGACACUGGGUCUGAGAGACGGCCGAGACUGCGACGGGAGGCAGCAGUGCGGAAGACUGCAGAAGGGGCGCCAGCCUGAUGCAGCGACGCUUCGUGGGGGAUGACGCUCUUCGGGUUGAAAACUCCUUGCGCUAGGGACGAUGCAUGUUGUGACGGUACCUAGAUAAGAAGCACCGGCUAACUACGUG